UCUGAAGUAGCCUCCCCACUAUCUUGGAGU
rnacentral:piRNA from 2 species